rnacentral:rRNA from 1 species
AGUGAACGCUGGCGGCAGGCCUAACACAUGCAAGUCGAACGGCAGCAUAGUAAGAGUUUGCUCUUACGGGUGGCGACUGGCGGAUGGGUAACGCGUACAUCGGAUUCCACUUUUUCGUGGGGGAUAACGUAGGGCCACUUCCGCUAAUACCGCAUAUAUCCUACGGGUUAAAGCAGGGGAUCUUGGGACCUUGCGUGAUUGUAUGAGCCGAUGUCGGAUUAGCUAGUUGGCGGGGUAAAGGCCUACCAAGGCAACGAUCCGUAGCUGGCCUGAGAGGAUGAUCAGCCACACUGGAACUGAGACACGGUCCAGACUCCUACGGGAGGCAGCAGCAGGGAAUAUUGCGCAAUGGGCGCAAGCCUGAUCCAGCCAUACCGCGUGAGUGAAGAAGGCCUUCGGGUUGUAAAGCCCUUUUGUUAGGAAAGAAAAACAGCGUGUGAAAACACGGCCGUUCUGACGGUACCCAAAGAGAAAGCACCGGCUAACUUCGUG